rnacentral:rRNA from 1 species
CUCUUUUUGUUUAUAUAUAUAAAGUAUGACCUGCCCACUGAUUUAUUUGAAGGGCCGCGGUAACCUGACCGUGCAAAGGUAGCAUAAUCAUUAGUUUCUUAAUUAGAGGCUGGAAUGAAUGGUUGGACGAAAUAUGAGCUAUCUCAUUAUUUUUAUUAGAAUUUAAUUAUUAAGUAAAAAAGCUUAAAUAUUGUUAUGGGACGAGAAGACCCUAUAGAGUUUAAUAUUAUAAUUUUUAGAUUAGUUUUGUUUCGCAAUAUUAAUUAUAAUUUUUUGUUGGGGUGACAGGAAGAUAUAAAUAACUCUUUUUAUUGAUAAAUAUUAAUUUAUAGAAUUUUGAUCCAUUUAUAAUGAUUAUAAGACUAAAUUACCUUAGGGAUAACAGCGUAAUCUUUUUUGAGAGUUCUUAUCACUAAAAGGGGUUGCGACCUCGAUGUUGGAUUAAGAUUAACAUUAGGUGUAGAAGUUUAAUUUGUUAGGUCUGUUCGACCUUUAAAAUCUUACA